rnacentral:lncRNA from 1 species
CUCAGGUGUUGUGAUACUGUUUUUUCAACUACCCAGCUCUUGAACAUACCUAUAAAGUCUACUGGUGUACUGUUUUAAAUUUUACCAUUUUUUUUCAGAAACAAGAGUUUAUCAAAAACUCCUGUGGAAGAAAGGAUCAUCCUGCAUUUAGCUGGAAGUCAAGAAGUCCAAUAUUUCAAAGGAGCACACGAAGCGGGAUGGCUGAGUUACAGUUAUUUUUUACAACAGAGCUGCUCCGAUGUCAUGGGAAGUCUCCUCAAAGCCCCAGCUCUGGUAAUUAAAUGAAACACAACCAUCCUACACCACAAUGGCUGGGCACUCUCCCACGGAAUAUCCAAAGAAGACAGGAAUGAGAAGAAUCAGCCAUCAAUUGCGUUUUAAAAUUUAAAAUUAAAAGAAGUAUUUAUAUUUCAUAUUUCCCUUAAUGCAAAUUUUUGACAUUUUCUAAAUUUCUACUUAUUUUGUAUAAAAAUGAGCUUAUGAUAUAAUAAAUGAUGACUCCCAUAUGUUACAAAAACUUGGGUUUUUAUUUCAAAAAUGAGCACAGACCCAUGCUAUAACUUUCUAAGGGCUUUAAUUGUUUCCCCAAACCAAUAAAAUUAAAAUGAC